GAUUUGUUUUUGGUUAACAUACAUGAAAGAAACAAUUAUUUACCCCAAUUUGUCACCGUAUCUAACUGAAAAAGGAACAGGCUGAAGCCAAGGCUUAUGGUUUUAUAUCCU